CUAGUGAUUAGAGUUUGAUCAUGGCUCAGAACGUACGCUGGCGGCACGCCUAACACAUGCAAGUCGAACGAAGUAGCAAUACUUAGUGGCAGACGGGUGAGUAACAUGUAGGUAUCUGCCCUUUGGCCUGGAAUAACACGAGGAAACUUGUGCUAAUACCGGAUAAGUCUUUACGGAGAAAGCUUUAUGCACCAUUGGAUGAGCCUGCACUUGAUUAGUUUGUUGGUGGGGUAAUGGCCUACCAAGACUGUGAUCAAUAGCUGAUUUGAGAGGAUGAUCAGCCACAUUGGGACUGAGACACGGCCCAAACUCCUACGGGAGGCAGCAGUGGGGAAUCUUGCACAAUGGAGGAAACUCUGAUGCAGCGAUGCCGCGUGAGUGAAGAAGGCCCUUGGGUUGUAAAGCUCUUUCGUCGGGGAAGAAAAUGACUGUACCCGAAUAAGAAGGUCCGGCUAACUUCGUGCCAGCAGCCGCGGUAAUACGAAGGGACCUAGCGUAGUUCGGAAUUACUGGGCUUAAAGAGUUCGUAGGUGGUUGAAAAAGUUGGUGGUGAAAUCCCAGAGCUUAACUCUGGAACUGCCAUCAAAACUUUUCAGCUAGAGUUUGAUAGAGGAAAGCAGAAUUUCUAGUGUAGAGGUGAAAUUCGUAGAUAUUAGAAAGAAUACCAAUUGCGAAGGCAGCUUUCUGGAUCAAUACUGACACUGAGGAACGAAAGCAUGGGUAGCGAAGAGGAUUAGAUACCCUCGUAGUCCAUGCCGUAAACGAUGUGUGUUAGACGUUGGAGAUUUAUUUUCAGUGUCGCAGCGAAAGCGAUAAACACACCGCCUGGGGAGUACGACCGCAAGGUUAAAACUCAAAUGAAUUGACGGGGACCCGCACAAGUAGUGGAGCAUGUGGUUUAAUUCGAAGAUACGCGCAGAACCUUACCAACACUUGACAUGUUCGUCGCGACUUUAAGAGAUUAAAGUUUUCGGUUCGGCCGGACGAAACACAGGUGCUGCAUGGCUGUCGUCAGCUCGUGUCGUGAGAUGUUGGGUUAAGUCCCGCAACGAGCGCAACCCUCACUUUUAGUUGCCAUCAUUAAGUUGGGCACUCUGAAAGAACUGCCAGUGAUAAGCUGGAGGAAGGUGGGGAUGACGUCAAGUCCUCAUGGCCCUUACGUGUUGGGCUACACACGUGCUACAAUGGUAUCUACAACAGGAAGCAAGACGGCGACGUUAAGCAAAUCCUUAAAAGAUACCUCAGUUCGGAUUGCACUCUGCAACUCGAGUGCAUGAAGCUGGAAUUACUAGUAAUCGUGGAUCAGCGUGCCACGGUGAAUGCGUUCCCGGGUCUUGUACACACCGCCC
rnacentral:rRNA from 1 species